UACGGAGGGGGCUAGCGUUGUUCGGAAUUACUGGGCGUAAAGCGCGCGUAGGCGGCGGUUUAAGUCGGGGGUGAAAUCCCGGGGCUCAACCCGGGAACUGCCUCCGAGACUGGACGUCUGGAGGACGGAAGAGGCGGGCGGAAUGCCGGGUGUAGAGGUGAAAUGCGUAGAUAUUCGGCGGAACACCAGUGGCGAAGGCGGCCCUCUGGUCCGGUACUGACGCUGAAGCGCGAAAGCGUGGGGAGCAAACAGG
rnacentral:rRNA from 1 species